rnacentral:rRNA from 1 species
UACAGAGGGGGCAAGCGUUAUUCGGAAUUAUUGGGCGUAAAGGGCGCGUAGGCGGCUUGGCAAGUGGAAGGUGAAAUCCCUCGGCUCAACUGAGGAACUGCCUUUGAAACUGUCUGGCUUGAGGCCGGGAGAGGGUAGCGGAAUUCCCAGUGUAGCGGUGAAAUGCGUAGAUACUGGGAGGAACACCGGUGGCGAAGGCGGCUACCUGGACCGGUUCUGACGCUGAUGCGCGAAAGCGUGGGUAGCAAACAGG